ensembl:rRNA 5S_rRNA 5S ribosomal RNA
UCUACGGGCCAUACCACCCUGAACGCGCCCGAUCUCGUCUGAUCUCGGAAGCUAAGCAGUGUUGGGCCUGGUUAGUACUUGGAUGGGAAACGGAUCUGUGCUGGGAAGGCCUAAAGGUGGAAGCUAGGAAGUCUAUGC